rnacentral:rRNA from 1 species
UACGUAGGGUGCAGGCGUUAAUCGGAAUUACUGGGCGUAAAGCGUGCGCAGGCGGUCUCUUAAGACAGGUGUGAAAUCCCCGGGCUCAACCUGGGAACUGCAUUUGUGACUGCAUGACUAGAGUACGGCAGAGGGGGAUGGAAUUCCGCGUGUAGCAGUGAAAUGCGUAGAUAUGUGGAGGAACACCGAUGGCGAAGGCAGCCCCCUGGGUCAAGAUUGACGCUCAUGCACGAAAGCGUGGGAGCAAACAGG